CCCAAUCUAGACAGUAGGAGGUGGUGAAGAGAAGUACUGAGUGGUGGCCAUUGGCUAUCAACUUGGAAUGAACGUAAUUUAAGCAAUUCGAUGAGUAACUACUGGAGGGCAAGUCCUGGUGCCAGCAGCCGCGGUAAUUCCAGCUCCAGUGGCGUGAUUUAAAGUUGCUGCGUUUAAAACGCUCGUAGUUGGAUCACGCAGUGGUAUUCAGUUAUCUGGAUUUGUGCAUUGUUGACAAUUUUCUUCUUAGAUUAUUGAAUCUUUGCUACUCCAGGUGUUUAUGCUGAAUGCUACUAUUUGCACACAAGUGUGGUAUUUGGCCUUAAGUGAGUCGAGUAUCAUGUCUUGUGGAGUGUGCCUUGAAUAAAACAGAGUGCUCAAAGCAGGCGUACGCUUGAAUGUUAUAGCAUGGAACGAACAAACGUGUAUUUGCGUAUGGUAUUUAAAGUUGAGGGCAACUUUGGCUUUAGAACUAUACGCAGCACCCGCCUAAAUACGGAUGUUGGUUUUCGUAUCAGGUGAUGAUUAACAGGAGCGGUUGGGGGCAUUGGUAUUUGGCCGCGAGAGGUGAAAUUCUUAGACCGGCCAAGGACUAACAGAUGCGAAGGCGUUUGUCUAGACCGUUUCCAUUAAUCAAGAACGAAAGUGGGAGGUUCGAAGACGAUCAGAUACCGUCCUAGUUCCCACUAUAAACUAUGCCGACCUGGGAUCAGUUUAGUGAUUUACAAGCUCUAGGUUGGUCCCCCUGGGAAACCUCAAGUUUUUCGGUUACGGGGAGAGUAUGGUCGCAAGUCUGAAACUUAAAGGAAUUGACGGAAGGGCACCACCAGGGGUGGAGCCUGCGGCUUAAUUUGACUCAACACGGGGAAACUUACCUGGUCCGGACAUCGAAAGGAUAGACAGACUAAUAGAUCUUACUUGAUGCGGUGAGUGG
rnacentral:rRNA from 1 species